ACUUUAUACCGUGAAACUGCGAAUGGCUCAUUAAAUCAGUUAUCGUUUAUUUGAUAGUACCUUACUACAUGGAUACCUGUGGUAAUUCUAGAGCUAAUACAUGCUAAAAACCCCAACUUCGGAAGGGGUGUAUUUAUUAGAUAAAAAACCAAUGCCCUUCGGGGCUCCUUGGUGAUUCAUAAUAACUUAACGAAUCGCAUGGCCUUGCGCCGGCGAUGGUUCAUUCAAAUUUCUGCCCUAUCAACUUUCGAUGGUAGGAUAGUGGCCUACCAUGGUGGCAACGGGUAACGGGGAAUUAGGGUUCGAUUCCGGAGAGGGAGCCUGAGAAACGGCUACCACAUCCAAGGAAGGCAGCAGGCGCGCAAAUUACCCAAUCCCGACACGGGGAGGUAGUGACAAUAAAUACUGAUACGGGGCUCUUUUGGGUCUCGUAAUUGGAAUGAGUACAAUUUAAAUCCCUUAACGAGGAACAAUUGGAGGGCAAGUCUGGUGCCAGCAGCCGCGGUAAUUCCAGCUCCAAUAGCGUAUAUUAAAGUUGUUGCAGUUAAAAAGCUCGUAGUUGAACCUUGGGUCUGGCUGGCCGGUCCGCCUCACCGCGAGUACUGGUCCGGCUGGACCUUUCCUUCUGGGGAAUCCCAUGGCCUUCACUGGCUGUGGGGGGAACCAGGACUUUUACUGUGAAAAAAUUAGAGUGUUCAAAGCAGGCCUUUGCUCGAAUACAUUAGCAUGGAAUAAUAGAAUAGGACGUGUGGUUCUAUUUUGUUGGUUUCUAGGACCGCCGUAAUGAUUAAUAGGGAUAGUCGGGGGCGUCAGUAUUCAGCUGUCAGAGGUGAAAUUCUUGGAUUUGCUGAAGACUAACUACUGCGAAAGCAUUCGCCAAGGAUGUUUUCAUUAAUCAGGGAACGAAAGUUAGGGGAUCGAAGACGAUCAGAUACCGUCGUAGUCUUAACCAUAAACUAUGCCGACUAGGGAUCGGGCGGUGUUUUUAUGAUGACCCGCUCGGCACCUUACGAGAAAUCAAAGUUUUUGGGU
rnacentral:rRNA from 1 species